rnacentral:rRNA from 1 species
AUUGAACGCUGGCGGCAGGCCUAACACAUGCAAGUCGAACGGUAACAGGAAGAAGCUUGCUUCUUUGCUGACGAGUGGCGGACGGGUGAGUAAUGUCUGGGAAACUGCCUGAUGGAGGGGGAUAACUACUGGAAACGGUAGCUAAUACCGCAUAACGUCGCAAGACCAAAGAGGGGGACCUUCGGGCCUCUUGCCAUCGGAUGUGCCCAGUUGGGAUUAGCUAGUAGGUGGGGUAACGGCUCACCUAGGUGACGAUCCCUAGCUGGUCUGAGAGGAUGACCAGCCACACUGGAACUGAGACACGGUCCAGACUCCUACGGGAGGCAGCAGUGGGGAAUAUUGCACAAUGGGCGCAAGCCUGAUGCAGCCAUGCCGCGUGUAUGAAGAAGGCCUUCGGGUUGUAAAGUACUUUCAGCGGGGAGGAAGGGAGUAAAGUUAAUACCUUUGCUCAUUGACGUUACCCGCAGAAGAAGCACCGGCUAACUCCGUG